UUGGAGGAACAAACGGACGAGGACGAGGAC
rnacentral:piRNA from 1 species